rnacentral:tRNA from 1 species
GUGGCAAUAGCUCAGUGGUAGAGCCCCGCUUCGCGUGGGGGGAGACCCGGGUUCGGUUCCCGGCUGCUUCC